CUUUCGACUGGGUAAUGGCCGCUUCCAGGAAGUAGGUGCUUCGGAGUCUGACGGCUGCAGAAUAUUCAAGAUCCUAUCUUUGACGAAGAAGAUCGCUAAAUACAGAUACGCUUAAAGUGCCCACAGUUAGUCUUUUCCUCAAGAUCAACUGAUCAGCAAGUCGGGAACAUGGCUGCUCCAGGGAAUGCGUUACAUCUCUUCUUGGUGCUUUUUUCGUUGCUGGUUGGAGUUCCAGCUGUGGAAGCUUUGGAUACAGGCGACGCACUAGCUAUCUUGCUGGGUAGGGUCAAUGCUGUACAAGACCAAGGAGAAGAAAUGCAUCACAGCUUCCAGCCCCAAAUCGUGAGACCUGGGAAGCUCGUAAAAUAAACUUCAGAUUCUGUUGUGACAAAGAGAGGGCAAAUUGCUUACACCCCUCACUGGUACCACAGAGGAAGAGAGUUUACCUCUGGGAUGGACAACAAC